CGGCGGCGCGGCGGCACUCAGCAGUGACAGCCCGGCGCUGCCGACGCGGCGACCUCGGUCUCGCCGCUGACAGGGUGCCUGGCCGUGCGGCGCUGGCCGCUGAGCCGCCUCACGAGCGGUCGCCGGUGACCACUGCCAGGCCAACUACGUUACCUGCCUCAUAGCACAAAUUCGAGCGACGCAAGUUCAAAUCUCCGCCUGCCCCAGGACAGGUGAGCACGCGAGCGCCGAUCGCCGCCACCGGCCCGCCCGCCUCCAAAUAAAACUGCGCGCCGCGAACCGUGCCAAAAAUCUAGUCACAUUUCGGGUGCGGGCGACGGGCCGUUUUUGCGCGGCACGCGCGGCAAAAAGCGACGCGCCGCGGCAAAAAGUGGCGCGGCCGACGAACGCCGCUGCCGGGCCGGGUGUGCUUCGGUACCAGAGCGCGGGACCAUCUCGUACGCGUCUGGCAGCGACGGCGCCGCUGGGAGCGUUGCU